rnacentral:lncRNA from 1 species
ACUCACAGAAGCUUAUAUGUAUGUGUAUAUGUAUGUAUAUAUACUACGUAGAUUGUAUAUGCGUGUCUAUAUAUGUUAGUGUAUGCGUGUGCUUUAUGUACGCAUGCAUGUAUGUAUAGCUGUGUUUAUAGAAAGUGUAUUAUGAUUGGAGUAUAUUUUUUUUUUGCCGUCCAAGCCCGAGGUACGACAUCAUUACUACACACAGAUAGAUUUUCUAUCGCUCAGCGAGGGUGGAGUGUGAGCGAGUCUUGGCCCCGUGGUUGGAAAUUACAACAAACCCGCUCGAUAGAUUGUUUUUUAUAUUACUAAAUGGUGAAUUCCCAGUUGGUGCCAAGGUUUUUUCUCUCCACCGUCCGUCACCGGCGGAGAUGGACGACCACAAAUAGCGAUUUAUUUUUCUCUUUGGCCAAAAAACAACAUCGUAAAAAUAUAAUAAUAAGUCGUCCUACAACAACAAACUUCGUUUGAGAAAGAAAAUCACGAGAAAAACGCAAAUACCUACUGAAAUCUCAAGGAAAAAAAAAUAUUAUAUAUAUACAUGUAUACACACAGAUGAAAACACACUGGCCUUGGGGGCACGGAUAACCAAAAAAAAAGAGAAACUAAUUGCGCGCGCGCGCGUGUGUGCUAGUGCGUAUAUAUGAGUGUGUGAAUGUAUGUAUAUAUGAAUGUAUAAAAAAACAUAACGUGCUCAAGAUAAUAUAAUAUAUUAUAUAUCAGUUUUGAUAUAUUACCGUAUUUUUCAAGUUGCAAAUUUAAUGGAUAUUGUAUAUAUUAUAUAUAUUAUAUAUAUAUAACAACUACCUGGUUUUUUAAUUGCCUUUAUUUUAUUUACUACCUGUGGCAUUCGACGAGGAAGAUUUUUUUUAAAAAGAAAACAAGGAAUAUUUGAUAAUUUUCACGCCUGAAUGAAGAAAAUAUAUACACUCGACAGCUACGACGACCGGGAGAAAUAGAUUUAUUUACAAAAAAAAAAUGUUUGUAUUCCAUUACAAAUAACCACAACAAUUCAUUUUCGUUUCUUUCGCAUUUGAGAAAAAAAAUAUAUAUAUAUAUUUACGUAUAAUAUCAAUAUAUUUUUUUAUACAGACCGAGGAAAAAAUAUCUAGAGAAAAAAAAAUAUUUAUCUUAAAUAUUUUUUAAAAGAAAAAUUGUUUCAAAAGUUCGUUUUUUUUUGUCGUUUGUUUGUUUCCAUACUUUUUGUUUACACACAAGGAUAUAUAUAUAUUAUAUAUAUAUAUAUUAUAUAGCUGGUCACUGGUGUAUAUAUAUAUAUAUAUAUAUAUGUAAAUGUGUAUUUUAGAUAUUUAUUAAAAUAUACACACGUAUUUUACACAUACUCAUUCACAUAUAUACAUUUUUAUAUUUAUUUAUAUAUAUGCAUAUAAAUUACAUCGCAAACAUCAUUACAUUCAUAUUAUACACACGGUGUGUGUAAGGGGUGCUGAUAGCGCGCGUAUAUAUAUAUAUAUAUAUAUAUAUAUAUAUAUAUAUAUAUACACACCACUUCACCGGAAGCGGAUUUCAUGGUAUAACUUACAACAGCUAGAAGGAUAACAUUUUAAAACAACAGAAAAAAUAUUUUAAAAUAUAAAUAACCCGAUAUCUAUCUAUAUUUAAUAGAUAGAUAUAAUUCCUAUUAAAAAAAAAAAAUUAAAACUAUGCUUACUUCUGGAUCGCCCUCACCUGUCCGGAUUUGUAAUGGUGUUGCUACGGGUGUGGCGGGGAAUAAUUCCCCUGCCAGACAAAUGCGCACAGGAGGAUACCAUUCUCAAUUCUGGACUGUUCACAGCCGAUCAAAUCCUCAAAACUUACGGAUAGGUAA